GUGCCAGCCGCCGCGGUAAUACCGGCAGCCCGAGUGAUGGCCGAUCUUAUUGGGCCUAAAGCGUCCGUAGCUGGCCGACCAAGUCUACCGGGAAAUCCACCCGCCCAACGGGUGGGCGUCCGGUAGAAACUGGCCGGCUUGGAACCGGAAAGCUCAGAGAGUACGUCCGGGGUAGGAGUGAAAUCCCGUAAUCCCGGACGGACUACCGAUGGCGAAAGCACUCUGAGAAGACGGCUUCGACAGUGAGGGACGAAAGCCAGGGUCUCCAACCGGAUUAGAAACCCCGGUAGUCC
rnacentral:rRNA from 1 species